rnacentral:rRNA from 1 species
UGACCUCGGAUCAGGUAGGAAUACCCGCUGAACUUAAGCAUAUCAAUAAGCCGGAGGAAAAGAA